rnacentral:lncRNA from 1 species
CUUGAGUUUCACUUUACCUGUAUUAAAUACAACUUUGACUUCGAGGUCCAAAUAAAUAAAUAAAUAAAUAAAUAAAUAAAUAAAGACAACAAUAAGUAAAUAAAUAAAAUAACAAAUGAAACUUUUGAGUCUCUGAGCUACUUUGCCAAAGGGUUCCAACCCAUUUUCGUUUUCUUCUAUCUUCUUGUAUCCAUGUGCUACGCAAUUGACUCGAAAUUAAUUUGACAGAAAUGGUGGGCCCCAAUGGCCCAUGAUGAAAUGUGAAGAGAGAUCAAAUCCAUUUUUUUGGACUCGAGGCAAGUGGUACAUGUAAAUAAGGGUAAGGACUAGAACCUGAUAAAAGAGAACCUGAUGCUACUAAUGUUGAAGGAAAUAGAAAAUAAUCUAAAAUGCUCCACAAAACAAGACAUCUCAAAGAAAACACAAGAAAUAAAUUCUUUUAUCUUACCCUUUUGAAAAGUUAAAAUUGAACUUCUUUUAGAGAGAAACUUGACUUCACAUAAAAGUAUAUUUAGGAGUAAACUUAUCACGAUCUUCAAUCACAAAUAAGUUAAUUCUAUGAUAGGAAUAGGCAUGUUUAAAUAAAUCAAACCAACCUAAUCGAAACACAACAAUUCACACAAGAAACAUAGUCUAUUCUGCUAUGCACAAAAUAGAUGAGGCAGUCAAAACUACUCCUUACAAACUGCAACACAUAGGAUCCUACGUGUAGAAUAGGUGCAGCGAGGAAAAGAGAGCAGACCGAAACCCGUAAAUCAUCAUUUAGCAAAGAGUAAAUCAAUCAAAAUUCUACACUAUCCUAAACGAGAUCAUUAAGAGAAUGCAAUGGCAGACUUAAUCCAACACAGCUCAAUCGUUUCCCAUUAUCAGGUCCAUUACUUUGGAACACGGCCACCAAGAACAACUUAAGACAGCCGAAACAUAAACAUAAAUUCACAUAUUUUCAUAUAUAAAAACACUCAUACAGAAAAGGUUUGUGGAUUUAGAGAGAAAAGAAAGCAUUGACAUGUCGAAGGACGAAUAAAGUCGUCUACAAUGAAAACCAUUCCACAAAGCCUCAACCUUUGGAAAAAGGAAAUUGUUGUUUUGCAUCUAUACUCUAAAUAAAAAACAGAAUUAGAAUCGAACAGCUCCUUAAAACAGUCUCAGACAAACAGCGAUUGACGCAUUCAAAUAUGAAUUAUAACUAUCAAGCGACUAACGAAAUAGUCGAAACUAUGGCAAGUUUCGUGACACGCAAGUCCUAUGGCUUAUAAGCCUUCCUACAGUGGACAAACCCAGCACUAACAGUAUUGGAAAAUGUUUCAUGACUACAGCAGUGUGAGAUGAAGCAGAAUACAAUUGAAAUUUAAAUAGAAAUGGAAUGUUGCCUGUUCAAGAGCAGCAAAAUGGGGCAGCGAGUUAAUCAUCGGGAUAUUGAUCACCACCGAAGCUUCGUCGCUACUUCGAUGAUCCCGACAAACUCAACAAUAUCUAAAAUUUCACUAAAAUAGAGAAAUUUGUUCACUGAUUUUUGAUAAAUAAUUUUUUCUCUCCCUUUUCACCCUUUCGGACCUAGCUUUCUUCACUCCUCUUUAUCAGACCCAAAAUUUUUUAACCCAAAUUUUUCUUUUUCUUCCCCCCCUUUUUAACUCAAUCAAGAUCUGCUAAUAUAGAAGCAAGCUCGGGUUUCUCUUUCGUGACUUGAAUGAUGUGGGAAAAUUGAAGUUCGGGCUAAUUUAGGGAUUCCCCAUCGAGAUAUUUUCAAAAUUCAAACUGAAAAAUCCCCCUACAGCUUGGGUUUUCCUCUCCAAAUUGUACCGAUUCUUUUGGAUUUGUUAAGAGAAAUUGAGAAUAGGUGGACCAAGACCAUUUGGGCAAACUGAAUUCUCCUCUAAAUCAAUGAAAACCAUCCAAAUAUAUACAAAAUCUUACAAAUCAAUCCAAAAAUCAAGGCAUUUAAAUGUUGGGGAGACAACUCACCUAUUUCUAGAAGCUUCCUAAGCUUUUCUCGUACAGGUUCACGUGGGAUGCGCGUGAUGCAUGUGAGCAUCGGAUUGAGGUCAGGUUGAAGCUGGUCGGCUUGGAGAUGGUGAUUUUGGGUUACAUCUUUGAUGAUAUCAAUUGAGCGCUAGGUUGAUUUUGGGGAAACUGGGUUCGGUUGUUCGCAAUUUGGAAACCAGAAGCGUGUUUUUUUAUUUUUACCGAUCGAUGUUGUAGGCUGUUAUGUUGUUGUUGGUUAAAGAAGAAAUAGGAAUCUGGGUCGGGUCGGAAGGUUGUUAGGUUUGGGCAUGUUAGAGUGGGUCAUUGGUGAAAGGAAUAGAUUGGUGUGGCUGGUUAUUAUGUGUAAGGGAAAAUGGGCUAGUAAAAUUGUUAUUAUUUUUGGGAUGAUUUGGUUAUUUUAAUAUAUAUGGCUAAUUUAAUUCUAGCCAAAUUGAAUAUCAAUUGAUCAAUUGCAUUAUAAUUGGGGCCAAUUUGAUUUCAAUUAGAGUCAAAUUUAAUAAAUUGACUAAAUCAAAUUGAAAUUCGAUAUGAAUUAACACCUUGUUUAAUCCCAAGCUUCUUGAUUUAAUAAAAUCGACUAAAUAUUUUCUAAAUCAAUUAUUUUCAAUAAUAAAUUAUAUUUAAAUCAAGAUUUUAAUUAUUAUAAUUUAUUUUCAAGAUAAGCCUUGAUUAACAUUCGAUAUUUUGUAAAAUAAAUAUUUAAGUAACAAAAUUAUAAUAUCUCAUAUAAUUUAAUACGAGAAUAUAUAAUCGCUAUUUAAAAAUGACAAAUUCACCCAAAUAAGUACUUUGAAUAUCCUUUAUUCGGAUAAAGUAAAUGUUGUUAUUUUAUCUUAAAAUUGAAGAAACUCAGAAUUAAAUGGGAUUAUGGAGGGUAAUCUUGUGCUGGUGUGGCAAUCCUUUUGGUUACCUAUAUCACUUGUUGUAUGUGGAAUGAUAACCUCUCCGGUUAUAGCCGAUGAUCGAUUUAUAAAUUUUCCUUAAAUUGUCAAUCUUUGGAAAAUCUUGUGCAUUAUUUGAUGUUGGAUACGAGGCGAGUUACAGAUAUCCUUUAAAUUGUUAGCUUUUAGGUAAUCCUUCACAUUUUUCGACCUUGGAUAAGAGAUGGCUUACAGAUAUCUCUCCAAUCGCUAGCUUUUAGGUGUUCCUGCACAUCAUCCAACCUUGGAUACAAUAUGACUUAUAGAUAUCACUCAAAUUGCUAGUCCUUGGGUAAUCCUGUACAUAAUCAAUCUUGGAUAUGAUGCGGCUUAUAGAGAAUCCUUUGACGUAUCAAUUUGAUAAUCUCGCAUAUUCUUCGAUAAAAAUUUAGUUGCGACUUAUGGAUAACCUCCAGACUAUCGAUUUUUGGGCGAUCUUGCACACUAUCCGGUUAGGAUGUUGUUGUGGCUUACGGAUAACCUAUAGUCUAUCAACUCAUAGGUGAUCUUGCAUACUAUCCUAUUUCAAAUAAUAUGACUUAUAGAUGACCCUCAAAUUGUCAAUUUCUAGAAAAUCUCAUAUAUCAUCCGUCUUUAGAUACCGACUUAAAGACGUCCCUUCAAAUCCUGUGCUCUUGAUGCAUUCAGAUGCUAAUUCAUAAAAUGAUGAGAUAUCCUUGACACCAGCAUUUAUGUCUCACGUGUCAACAGAUAUUAAAUACUGAUGAUAUCCUCGAUGCCAGCGUUUAUGUCUUGCAUUUCAAUAGAUAUGAAUUACUGAUGAUAUCCUCGAUGCCAGCAUUUAUGUCUUGCAUGUCAAUAGACAUUAACUAAUGAUGAUAUCCUCGAUGCCAAUGUUUAUGUCUUGUAUGUCAACAGAUAUGAAAUGCUGAUGAUAACCUCGAUGCAGUAUUUAUAUCUUAUGUGUCAACAGAUAUGAAAUGUUGAUGACAUCCUCGAUGAUAGCAUUUAUGUCUUGCGUGUCAACAGAUAUGAAAUGCUGAUGACUUCCUCGAUGCCAGCGUUUAUAUCUUGCGUGUCAAUAGAUAUGAAUUGCUGAUGAUAUCCUUGACGCCAGCGUUUAUGUCUCCCAUGUCAACAGAUAUUAAAGGUUGAUAAUAUCCUCGAUGCCAGCAUUUAUGUCUUACGUGUCAAUAGAUAUGAAAUGAUGAUGAUAUGAAAUGGCCCUCUCGGCGAUGAUAUGAAUGGCCCUCUUGGCAAUGAUAUGAAAUGGCCUUCUUGGCGAUGCUAUGAAGUGGCCCUCUCGGCAAUGCUAUGAAAUGGCCCUCUUGGCAAUGAUAUGAAUGACCCUCUUGUGAAUGAUACGAAUGGACCUCUCGGCAAUGAUAUAAAAUGUCCCUCUCGGCAAUGCUAUGAAAGGGACCUCUUGGCAAUGAUAUGAAUGGCCUUCUUGACAGUGAUAUGAAAUAACAUAAAAUGGCUUUCUUGGCGAUGAUAUGAAUGACCCUCUUGGCAAUUUGAAAAUAGUUUCACCUGAGUUUGUUUUUCUGUGUCUUACUUUCUACAUGUACCUGUACUUGAAGUAGACAAUUAGUAGACACAAAGUUGUUCUCACCCUGUUUGUCUUAAGGUGAAUUUUAAGGGCAGCUUUUUGCUCUUCCUCCUAUUGAGAGAUCUUUUGAUUAUUGUAUUUAUUAUGCUAACUCCCUUGAAUAUACCUGCACCAAAAAUAUUUAGUAGGCACAAAGUCUCUUUUGCUAGCGACUAUGUUUUAGAAAAAUCCUAAAUACAAUAUUAUAAAGAAAAUAAGACGCCUUUGUUUGUCCUUUAUGAUCUCAAGAAAUGAGAUGGACAAUUCAAAAGGUAGUUGAUAAAUAGGUAUUAAACCUAUUUUUGAGGCUACCCUAAAAUACCGUUCUUAACCAUUGUAUGCUCAGGCAUGGCUCGCAACUUGCUUGGGGAUUUUAAAAGAAACACUCAUUUUGUAUAUCGAUCCCUGCAUCCACAGAAAAAUGAUUAGUUUGAAUAAAACUACUCCGUGUUGACUUUCUUGUCUGCUCAGUUUGCUCCUCUCCAUCUUUCAGGUGCCCCGUCAUAUUGGUAUCUCCACCCUAGGUCCCUGCUUCCAUAGACGCCCAGGCAAUCACUAAGUAAAAGAUUUGUAAAGAUUUUUUCAAAAGUAGUCUUAUUUUUAGCAAAUGGUUUCGAAAGUAUCUGUAAAAGCUUUAGAAAAUUUCUGCCAGUCAUGUCAUUUACUAGCUCAACGAGCGUCUUCUUCGUGGUUUUAACUAUAUCUGACGGAUGAUUUUCAAAACUCAUGAUCAUUUUUUGAGGGUUCUUCAAAUAGUUCUGUCAUAGCCAGAAAUUAAGUCUACCUAGACUUUGUCGCAGUUGGUGGCUUCAAAAACUUGUCUUUAACCUCUGGAGUCGAGGACUUUGAAAUAUAUUCCAAUAGUUGGUAGAAAUUUUGAGGCCUCUCUCAAAAUUUCUGCCACAGUUUAAAGUAGUCUGAGAUGAUAUCAUCUAGAGUGGAUCUGAAGUCUUUGCUGAUCUUCAUUCUCUUUGUUGGAUAUUGAUCUUCUCUUGUGAAUUUUUGAGAUUUCUUCUUGAAAAUUCUGCCCUAGUUUCCAUUUCCUGGGGUUAUAUGACCGAACCAUUGGGGCGCCUACGUAUCCCGUUGAAGCAGGAAUCAGGUCAAACGUAGUUCAAGACUACGCUAAAGAUAUAUAGAAAAUCUAAUGGAUUGACCGAAGCCGACAUAGGCCACCUAUGUAUCUCUUUUGUUGGGAAUUUAGGUCAUUACGUAGUUCAUACAUAAAAGGAAAGGAUAAAUUUUCUUAAGGGGUUGAUCGAAGCCGACAUAGGCCGCCAACGUAUCCCUCUUUGGAAAUUCAGGUCAAAAGUAGUUCGUACAUAAAAGGAAAGGAUAAAUUUUCCUAAGGGGUUGACCGAAGCCAACAUAGGCCGCCUACGUAUCUCUUUUUGGGAAUUCAGGUCAAAUGUAGUUCGUACAUAAACUCAUCUUUAGGGUUAAAUAGCCCUAGAUACUCUUAUCCAUCCUACUAGAAAUAAACAUUCUACAAAUGACAUGACAUUUUCAUUACGUUUGUCUUGAUAGAAUAAAGGAUCAAAUAUCCAAUUCCCUUAGUCAUCGCUCAGUUUUCUCUAGAUCAGGCUUCUUUAAUUCUCGAACUCUUUGACUCUUCUAUUAACUGUUCCAGGGCUAUCAUUAUUUUUUUUUUGACAUGACAUGAUAAUGGCAGGUUUUGAGCUAUUAUUAUACGACGGGCGAUGAGUCAUGAGUGAAGUGGUGGUCCAAUUCAACAAUGUUUCCUCCAAUUUAUCUUCUAUGAUCCCGAUUGUCUUGGAAAAUUCCUCCCUUACAUUUUCUCCUAUUCCAUCCUCAAGACCAUCGCUUACAGGUUUGGAAAAAUGAUUGGUAGAGUCUAGUUUUACAACUAGUCAUUUUUCUUUUCUUGUAACAAAGUUAUAGUUAAGAAGGGGAUUUCUUAUUCAUUUGAUCUAGUGAAGUAUGGUCAUUUUAUGCCAACACAGUGUAAUUUCUAUUACCUGCAAAGUAAAAACAACUCAAAGGCUGAUGUGUUAAAUUCUGUUAGUAAUAAGCAAAGCAAGAUGAUAAGGUAAGAAGUAAACACAUAGAGUUGUUUCUCCUCUCAUGCGAAUUGAUCCAUGAAGUAAUGAUGACUCAAGAAUUUCAAUGAACAGGAUUUUUCUCAAUGAUAUGGAUGGGUAGAAUUUAUUCGGAAGGCUCAACUUUUAUUCUUUCCGACCUUAUUACUUCUUUCAAGAAAAUGGAGGUCAACAGAGCUUUUGGAGAAAUAGGCAGAGCCGAAAGGCUGUCUACGUAUCUUACGGAGGAGAAAUCAGGCCCUACGUAAUUCAAAACUAUAAUGGAUUUUUCUGAUUCUAAAAUCAACUUUUCGAAAACGGUAGCGAUCAUUUUGGAAGUUUUAAGAACGACUGCGGACUUUUCUGAGAAACUUGGGAGACUUGGAGUACGUUUGGUCGGACUUUUGUAUAUUGGGGUAUAUUUAUGCCUAGAGAUGUUCUAUGGAAAAUAAGGUUGGAUCAAUUCGCCUUUGAUUCGAAUCAACAUAACACGUAUAACCACAUAAACAGUUAUAUUACAUAAGUAUAUUGUAAUAAACAUGCAUCCUAAUUGAGUGAGCCUAACGAAUUUUGAAGAAAAUAUACGCCUUUUAAAAGCCAAUCCAUUAUCCCCUAAAAUCUUCAUAGAUAUACAUAAAUGGCAUAAAUGCCUACAAACGUUGCACAAAGGGGAUAUAAUCUUUAGGGAAAGGGAAAAUAACAUGAGAAGAAAAGUAAUGUCCCGCGCAAGGGAUAAUAAGUACUAAUUCCUGAAUGCUUCUUCUAUCGGCCUUCGCUUUCUUAGCUUUGUCCACUUCUCAAUAUUGGCGACAUCCGUUAAUGAUCAAGUGAUUGCCGUAUAACUGUACCAUUGAUGCCAUGCAACUGUCCAAAUCAAUCAAUUUCUUUCUUGACUUGUUUCAAUUCUUUUAUCAAUCGGUGUACGAUUGAGGCAUCCUUAUACAAAAGUAAGUAAAACAAGUCUUCUCCCGAACCCCCAAAGGAUAAUGAAUUGGAUUAAACAAACAUAUAUUUCUUCAACACAUAAAUAUGAUUCGUCUGUAAUUGACUUGGGGUCAAUAGACGCAGGGCAAGUUUUCUAAUGGACCCAAUACCCCCCUCGGGUAUUAGAUCAUCCUAGGCUUAUACCUAAAAUAGGAUUUUGGUUUUGCUCUAUCUUAAAUGUCUAGAGUGGGUUUGAACCGGGUUCCCAAGCGGAUGUCUUAGGUUUGGAAAUACAAACAGCCAUCAAAUGACUCACGUGCUAAUAAACCGCUGUAUUUCCAACACAUUAUUUGGAAUUGAACAAUAGGGGUCGGGACAUGCACGAAACCCAAAAAUAGUUUAAAUAAAUACAGGAAUAUGCUAUGAGAUGCACUAAUUAAAUACCAUGAAAUCAAACAUAUAAACACGUAAAUAGUUAAUCAAAAGAUGAAAUCAAACAUUUGAUUAGAACCUAGUUUAAAAUCCCCAUGAGUCGCCAUUUCAGUUUUUCAGAAAUUUUGACUUUUAAAGAGUCACCACUUAAUUUUGAAAAUGAAUUAAGAAACCUUUAUAAGAUACUUUAAACAAUCAAAAAACAAUCAAAAACAGAAAAAUCGCUUGAGUUUAAAGAUUCUAAGUAAGCGGUUCUUAUUAAUGUUUUAGGAAGGUGUUAAGACACCUAAAAUGUCCGCUAACUUGCGAUUAUCUGGACUGUUUGAAAACGUCAUUUGAUUAACUUCAAAAAAAAAAGAUUGAUUUGUUAAAAAGUGAUCGAUUUUUAGCAAAUACUUAUGUAAAAUGAAUUUAGACGACUUAGUAGGGAUUUUAACUAAGUAUAAACAAAACUAAUAAACAAAUAAACACAUAAAGGAAAAAGGGAGGAGAAUGUAAAAGAUUUAGGCCAUUGGGCCCAAAUCAACGAAACCUGUCCUAAUCUAGAUAUUGGGCCCUUGGCCCAUAAUCUGUCCUAGUCUAAUUUUCGAACCUUUGGCUUGAGUUUCACUUUACCUGUAUUAAAUACAACUUUGGCUUCGAGGCCCAAAUGAAUGAAUAAAUAAAUAAAUAAAUAAAGACAACAAUAAGUAAAUAAAUAAAAUAAUAAAUGAAACUUUUGAGUCUCUGAGCUAUUUUGCCAAUGCGUUCCAACCCAUUUUCUUUUUCUUCUAUCUUCUUGUAUCCAUGUGCUACAUAAUUGACUCCCGGAAUUAAUUUGAUAGAAAUGGUGGGCCCUAAUGGCCCAUGAAGAAUUGUGAAGAGAGAUUAAAUCCAUUUUUUGGACUCGAGGCAAGUGGUACAUGUAAAGAAAAGGGUAAGGAUUAGAACCUCAUAAAAGAGAAACUGAUGCUACUGAUGCUGAAAGAAAUAGAAAAUAAUCUAAAAUGCUCCAAGAAACAAGACAUCUCAAAGAAAAUAAAGCCUUUUAUCUUACCCUUUUGACAAAUUAAAAUCGAACUUUUUUAAAGAGAAACUUGACUUCACAUAAAAGUAUAUUUAGGAGUUAGCUUAUCACGAUCUUCAAUCACAAAUAAGUUAAUUCUAUGAUAGGAAUAGGCAUGUUUAAAUAACUCAAACUAACCGAAUAAAAACACAACAAUUCACACAAGAAACAUAGUCUAUUCUGCUAUGCACAAAAUAGAUGAGGCAGUCGAAACAACUCCUUACAAACUGCAACAACACACAGGAUCCUGCGUGUAGAAUAGGUGCAGCAAGGAAAAGAGAGCAGACCGAAACCCAUAAUUCAUCAUUUAGCAAAGAGUAAAUCAAGAAAAAUUCUAUACUAUCCUAAACGAGAUCAUCAAGAGAAUGCAAUGGCAGACUUAAUCCAAUACAGCUCAAUCGUUUCCCAUUAACAGGUCCAUUACUUUGGAACACAGCCACCAAGAACAACUUAAGACAACCGAAACAUAAACAUAAAUUCACAUAUUUUCAUUUAUAGAAAUACUCAUAUAGAAAAGGUUUGUGGAUUUAGAGAGGAAAAAAAAGCAUCCAUGUCGAAGGACGAAUAGGGUCGUCUACAAUGAAAACCAUUCCACAAAGCCUCAAUCUUUGACAAAAGAAAAUUGUUGUUUUACGUCUAUAUUCUAAUUAAAAAACAUAAUUAGAAUCGAACAGCUCCUCAAAAUAGUCUCAGACAAACAGCGAUUGAUGCAUUCAAAUAUGAAUUAUAACCAUCAAACGACCAACGAAAUAGUCGAAACUAUGGCAAGUUUCAUUAAACGUAAAUCCUAUGGCUUAUAAGCCUUCCUACAACGGACAAACCCAGCACUAAUAGUAUUGGGAAAUGUUCAUGAUUGCAGCAAUGUGAAAUGAAGCAGAAUACGAUUGAAAUUGAAAUAGAAAUGGAAUAUUACCUGUUUGAGAGCAGCAAAAUAGGGCAACGAGUUAAUCAUCGGGAUAUUGAUCACCACCGAAGCUUCGCCGCUACUUCGACGAUCCCGACAAACUCAACAGCUUCUAAACUUUCACUAAAAUAGAGGAAUUUGUUCACUAAUUUUCGCUAAAUGAUUUUUUCUCUCCCUUUUCACCCUUUCGGACCUAGCUUUCUUCACUCCUCCACUUUAUCGGACCCAAAUUUUCGAACCCUAAUUUUUCUUUUUCUUCCUCCCUUUUUCAACUCAAUCAAGAGCAGCUUAUAUAAAAGCAAGCUCAGGUUUCUCUUUCGUGACUUGAACGAUGUGGGAAAAUUGAAGUUCGGGGUUAAUUUAGGGAUUGCCCAUCGAGAUAUAUUCAAAAUUCAAACUAAAAAAUCCUCCCACAGCUUGGGUUUUCCUCUCCAAAUUGUACCGAUUCUUUUGGUUUUGUUGAGAGAAAUUGAGAAUAGGUGGACCAAUACCAUUUGGGCAAACCAAAUUCUCCCCUAAACCAAUGAAAAUCAUCCAGAUAUGUACGAAAUAAUACAAAUCAAUACGAAAAUCUAGGGAUUUAAAUGUUGGGGAGACAACUCACCUAUUUCUAGAAGCUUCCUAAGCUUUUCUCGUACAGGUUCGCGUUGAAGCUGGUCAGGUCAGAGAUGGUGAUUUUGGGUUACAUCUUUACUGAUAUCGAUUGAGCACUGGGUCAAUUUUGGGGAAGCUGGGUUCGAUUGUUCGCGAUUUGGAAACCAGAAGCGUGUUUUUUUGUUUUUGC